UUCAAAUAUUAAGAUUUGCAGGCGAGAAUUCAAUAUUUUGGAGCUAUCUCCAUUAAAUAUGUUUAAUUUUCGAAUAGAACAAGAUUAUAUUAAGGUUAGGUUCAUUUUUGGAAUUAGGGUUUGUUAUUGGGCUAUAACAAUAACACUGUUCUAUUUAUGACUUAUAAGUAUAAUUUUAAUUCUUGUAUUAUUCAUCAUUAACACUAAAUUCGUAGUAGUACAUGUAAAUCAUAUUUUUCAUAUCUAUGUAAACAUAAUUUGAUUAUAUUUUCAUAUUUUAACGGGAAGGAAAAGCAAUGCUUAAAAUCAAACUAAGAUAUAUUUUAUAUGGGAAAUUUGAAGAUUUGCACUCAAAACGUGUCUACAAAUUUGUCAUUAUUAUUUGAUAGAAUGUAUAAUUAAAAACGUUGAUGGGGGCAGUUGCAAGUUAAACAUUAAAUUUACCAGGUUAAAGUUUAUUCUGGAACAGCACAUCUAAAGGACCUAGAGCAACUGUUUCAGGCAAAUUGAAGUUAUUGAUCAAGUUAAACUUGAGCUGACAACUCUUAAGAUUUGAAGAGUACCUGAUGCCUCCAAUGUAAAAGCAGCCAACGUUCCCAUAUGAAAGUGCUAUCAAAGAUAUGGAUGGAAAGGGUCAAGUUCAUUACUAUUCAAUAUCCUGAUGUUUCUUUUGUUGAAAAAAUAUAUAAAGUAUUAAAAAUGAAUACACCAAACCAAGUGACAUUUAUGUUAGUUGGAAUAUCAUUUUAAUAUAGAAUAAAAGUUCCAAAAGUGUAGCAUGUUAUUAGUAGUUUUACAUAAAUGAAAGUAAGUGUGUUAAUAAUUCGAAAAUUUUGAAAAUAUCUCGAACGAACGAAAAAUAAAAUUUUUAAAAAUUGAGAAUAACGUUUUUUAAAAUAUAAACAAGUUUAUAUGAAAACUGUUAAUAAAUAAAAUAACACUUUGUAGCAUAUAUUGUACGUUAAAGGAAAAUAAAUUUACCUAACUGACUUUCUUAAUAAAAUACAAUAUCUAUAGUCGAUUGAAUUGUAAUUAUUUUCUAUUUUGUAUACAGGGUGACCGGAAACUUGAAACUCUUAUUUUAUUUCUGCAUUCAAAUGUAUCAUACUGUAUUAUCAAGUGCUUUAUAACAUCUAUUAGUUUAACGAAAAUUUAAUUUGUUUUAUAAAAUACAGUAUAUAGGGUAUUUAAAAGUAAUUUAAAGAAAAUUAAAGGCCAUGUAUAUAGGAGACUGAUUUCACUAUAAUAUACAAGUUGUUAAUCAUAGUUAUGUAUAAUUCGGGAUAAUUUAAUAUGAUCAUUAAAGAUAUUUUUAUAUCAUUACACAUUUUUUGCUAUCUCUCAAAAUUACUGUGUAAGAUUGGUACACUCUGUGUAACAUCUAUAGUAUGCAAGGAAAUAAGAAUUAAUAACUAGGUGUUAUAUAGAUGCUAAGAUCGUAUAUUCUUUAACUAUUUUUGGGACGUCCUGUAGAUAAGUUUAGAUUGUAACCGUAAUUGAUGUUUAAAUAGCUAAAUGAAUGUCAAAUACAGAAGACUCACCCUAUAUAUAUACAUCAUUUUGGAAAAUUUUCUCAAUUGUUUCAAAAAAUUACUCAAGGAUUUUUAUAAUCUGUAUGAAUUCCUUUUCACUGAUUAGUAAUAUUAGCCAUCAUAUGUUCAGAAAAACAAUGGUUAUUCUAUAAGAAAUUCUUAUGGUGUUUGUAGAGUGUUUAUAAUUCAAUAUUUUUAAUGGUUUACAAUGGAUUCUGGUGUGUUUAUUUUAGAAAUAUUUCGUUUAUAUUAUAUUCUGUUAUUGACCAUUAUUAGACCCUUUUUUUUUUGUUGAAGGUAUCCUUGGGUUGAUAUUUAUAUUUGAUAAACAACAUGUGCCCGUGCAGUUUAGGAACCCCUUUUAUCUGUUUGUAGAAUAGUUUGUUUACAUUAUAUCGAGGGUUUAAUACUGAUAACGAAAAAUGAUCGUGCAGCCCCUUCUUGGAUGCCUUUGUCUUUGUUCCAAGAAUUGUUUGUUUCGAAUAUAUUUUUUUUUGAUAUUUAUGAGAUUACAUUCAACAGAAUUGUUAGAGAGAUAAGGACCACCCUUCACUAUGAGAAAUUUUAAAAUCGCAUUAUUCUACAUAAAUAAUAGAUAGUAAUACCAAAAUAUCUAUACAUGUUGAGGAUUUAAUACCGAUAACGAAAAUUGACCGUGUAGCCCCUUUUUAGACGCCCUCAUCUUUGUUGGAAGAAUUUCUUAUUUACUUCACAUUUCGAAUUUAUUUUUGAUAUUCAUUAGAAAAAUAACAUUCAAUAGAAUAUUUUCUGAUAUGGUUUAUGUAAUUUGGGGAUGAGGACCACCCUACAUUAUGGGAAGUUUUAAAAUCACAGAAUUCUCGAUAUCAAGAUAACAAAAAUGUUUUUAUUUUGUCUUUAUACAUAUGCAACUAAUUUUUUUGAAACAUUGUUUCAAAUUCUACGAUCCUUAAUUUAUAUAAAAAUUUUCAUGUACAUGUAAUCACUAAUUAAAGUACUAAUUCGAAAAACGAAGGUAGGUAUGUCGUAAAACAUUAAAAGUAUAUAGAUUCCCGAAAGGAAAUUACUAUUAUUUACUGCCCAUAACCUCUACUUAUAUAGCCAUUUAAUAAUAUUAAGUUAUUGUGAAUUGUAAUAAUUAAAUCUAUGCCAUGUUUUAUUGUAUGUAUUAUAUCUAUUAUCACUAAUUAUUCAAAACUUUCUUAGAAAUAUUAUUAAAAAUUUAUAUUGCUCUUUGAAAACACUAUUUUAUUCAAUAUGGAAAUUAUCUAACAAAAUAUGUAAUAUUUAAUUACUUAUUAUUUAAUAAAUGAAAACUUUACAUCUU